AAAGAAAACAACAGAACGCACAGAGCACACGCAGAGGGAAAGAAACAACAACGCUAGCUCCUCUGAGGCCUCGAAGUCUGAUGUUUAAAUGUUGCCUUUUUCCUAACAGGAAGAAAUCAAUAGGUCCCGAGGCAAGACAGACACACGGUGACUGCUUAUAUACGAGCGGAGAGAACGGAGGACGGAGAUGGAAAUGGAGGAAAAACAGAAGGAGCGAGCAGAAAUUAACGGCGAAGACGCUGGCACCCGUGGCACCUCGGCUUAACUCUGGGAAACAGUCUGUUUUUACUGGAAACAGCCCCCCACCCCCAUUGUCUUCCGGCGCGGCCGUUCAGAGCAGCGAUCAACACUUUCAGCUUUAGACAACCCGCCAUGCAAACUAUGCCUACGUGAAGCAUAACCUACCCUGAAGGCUUGUCACCUAAAGAAGAAGCAUGACAAGUUGACAGCAGCGAGAUGAGAAACAAGCAGCUUGACCCAGGGCAAGCAGCCUACUAUUAAUUAUAAAGGCACUUGCACGCGACAGCCACCUGACACAUCAAAAAUUACUUUGGACUACAUGUCCACAAGAUGUCAUUAAUUACACCAGCACAAGGGGGGAUGCUGUUGAACUAGUGCUAAUGACGACAGAGUAAUUUAAGAAAUCAGCGCCGCCUGCGUUACUGAAACGAUGUCAUUACCUCAUCAAGCGUCGCCUUUAGUUUUGGACGUCUGCUGGCUACCCUUUAAUCCCAGCGGCACAUGCAAAGUAUUAAGUUAUGUGUGAGAGGCUGCUUGGAACAACUUGGGCAAAAUUAAACGUUGUGCAUGUCGCCCUGAUUGAGGCUGCCUACCAGCGACCUGAAGUUGGUGCGUGCGUUUCAUGUCAAACACAUAAUUUAAAGACUCGGCUCAAGCUGGAGAGGGUACUCUUGAUACAAAAAUGCUACACGGUGUUAAAGUUGCUGUAGCCCAUUUCAACUAUAGUAACUGUCAGGUUCACACCUUCCUUCUUGGACUCUACUAUUCAUCAUCCAGGGCCUUCCUGCACCAGUGGAUCCGUGCAUGAUGUCUGACACGAGCUCCGCUCACUUUA